UCUUGACUAGUAUAUCGGUUAGUACACGCGCUUGUCAUGGUGUUUAAACAGUCCUUCUAUCGCGCGAAAGCUGGGUUCGACUCCCAGGUCGAGAG